CCUACGGGAGGCUGCAGUGGGGAAUAUUGCACAAUGGGGGAAACCCUGAUGCAGCGACGCCGCGUGAGUGAGGAAGUAUUUCGGUAUGUAAAGCUCUAUCAGCAGGGAAGAAAAUGACGGUACCUGACUAAGAAGCCCCGGCUAACUACGUGCCAGCAGCCGCGGUAAUACGUAGGGGGCAAGCGUUAUCCGGAUUUACUGGGUGUAAAGGGAGCGUAGACGGAAUAGCAAGUCUGAUGUGAAAACCCGGGGCUCAACUCCGGGAGUGCAUUGGAAACUGUUGAUCUAGAGUGUCGGAGAGGCAAGCGGAAUUCCUAGUGUAGCGGUGAAAUGCGUAGAUAUUAGGAGGAACACCAGUGGCGAAGGCGGCUUGCUGGACGAUGACUGACGUUGAGGCUCGAAAGCGUGGGGAGCAAACAGGAUUAGAUACCCGAGUA
rnacentral:rRNA from 1 species